UCGUUGGCGAGAAUGUUUCGACAACAAAGUGUGAAAUUUGAGGUAAAAUACAACAGAGGAUUUCUGAAAGGUGACAAGACGCUGGGUCAAGCUUCUCUUAAGUUAUCACCGUUUGAUAAUAGAUGUGAAAUUCACGAAUGUCUAAAUAAACGAUUGCUGUCGUAAGUGGACUUAAUUACAAUUGCAGCUUAUGGAUCCCGAGAAAGGUCGCAAGGUGAUUGGUGGAAAG